rnacentral:lncRNA from 1 species
CAAUUCUGCUUUCUGCGCAGGUGUAACCGGUUACCCUAAUUAGGGUAAUCGGUUACACAGUCCCAAAACGGCCAAAAAUUCAGUUUUUGGUCUGUGUAACCGGUUACCCAGUUUUUAUUUUGUUUUUUUUAUUUAUUUUUAUUUUUAUUUUUUUAAAUUUUUUUAUUUUUUAUUUUUUAUUUUCAUUCCUUGAGCCCAUGCAAUAUGUCUUUGGUUAUGAAUGUUAAUAUAAUUAUGAUGAUGAAAUAAUG